GCGAAAACUUUACACUGCGCGAAAGCGCGAUAAGGGGACCUCGAGUGCGUGCGCAAAGCGUACGCUUUUCAGAUGCCUAAAAAGCAUCUGGAAUAAGGGCCGGGCAAGACCGGUGCCAGCCGCCGCGGUAACACCGGCGGCUCAAGUGGUGGCCGCUAUUAUUGGGCUUAAAGGGUCUGUAGCCGGCUGGAUAAGUCUCUUGGGAAAUCUGGCAGCUUAACUGUCAGGCUUUCAGGAGAUACUGUCUGGCUCGAGGCCGGGAGAGGUGAGAGGUACUUCAGGGGUAGGGGUGAAAUCUUGUAAUCCUUGAAGGACCACCAGUGGCGAAGGCGUCUCACCAGAACGGACCUGACGGCAAGGGACGAAAGCUAGGGGCACGAACCGGAUUAGAUACCCGGGUAGUCCUAGCCGUAAACGAUACUCGCUAGGUGCCGGCAACGGUGCGACCGUUGUCGGUGCCGUAGGGAAGCCGUGAAGCGAGCCACCUGGGAAGUACGGCCGCAAGGCUGAAACU
rnacentral:rRNA from 1 species